CCUACGGGAGGCAGCAGUGAGGAAUAUUGGUCAAUGGGCGUAAGCCUGAACCAGCCAAGUCGCGUGAGGGAUGAAGGUUCUAUGGAUCGUAAACCUCUUUUAUAAGGGAAUAAAGUGUGGGACGUGUCCUGUUUUGUAUGUAACUUGUGAAUAAGGAUCGGCUAACUCCGUGCCAGCAGCCGCGGUAAUACGGAGGAUCCGAGCGUUAUCCGGAUUUAUUGGGUUUAAAGGGUGCGUAGGCGGCCUUUUAAGUCAGCGGUGAAAGUCUGUGGCGCAACCAUAGAAUUGCCGUUGAAACUGGGAGGCUUGAGUAUGUUUGAGGCAGGCGGAAUGCGUGGUGUAGCGGUGAAAUGCUUAGAUAUCACGCAGAACCCCGAUUGCGAAGGCAGCCUGCCAAGCCAUGACUGACGCUGAUGCACGAAAGCGUGGGGAUCAAACAGGAUUAGAUACCCUAGUAGUC
rnacentral:rRNA from 1 species